UAGGGAAUCUUCGGCAAUGGACGGAAGUCUGACCGAGCAACGCCGCGUGAGUGAAGAAGGUUUUCGGAUCGUAAAGCUCUGUUGUUAGAGAAGAACGUUGGUAGGAGUGGAAAAUCUACCAAGUGACGGUAACUAACCAGAAAGGGACGGCUAACUACGUGCCAGCAGCCGCGGUAAUACGUAGGUCCCGAGCGUUGUCCGGAUUUAUUGGGCGUAAAGCGAUCGCAGGCGGUUCUUUAAGUCUGAAGUUAAAGGCAGUGGCUUAACCAGUGUACGCUUUGGAAACUGGAGGACUUGAGUGCAGAAGGGGAGAGUGGAAUUCCAUGUGUAGCGGUGAAAUGCGUAGAUAUAUGGAGGAACACCGGUGGCGAAAGCGGCUCUCUGGUCUGUAACUGACGCUGAGGCUCGAAAGCGUGGGGAGCAA
rnacentral:rRNA from 1 species